GCGAUCAGAGGCAGACUACGGCUGAAGGGAAAGAUUACAUUUCCCAGGAUGCCUUGCAAACACCUUGGUAACCGACUGACUCCAAACAUUUUGAAGAAAGAUGGCUGCCAGUGCAGAAAAAGAAGUUUACAAAUGACACUGAUCAAACAGCUGGGCCUGGAGGGAAAGGUCAAUGUACAGCAGGUUGGAAAGAAAUGGGAAAAAUUAAAAAAGAAAUAUAAGGAUCUGAAAACUCCAAAGACUGGUUCAGGGACCGAAAGCGGGGAGAAAACAGCUGCCAACUGGCCUUUCUACGAGGAUAUGCAUGAGUUCUCGGUGCCAGACCAUGCAUAGAGCCCCCUGUAUUAGUGGCAUCUUUUAAUGAAGGCAGUGAUGUCACAACAUUACUGAUGAACAUCAUUGAACCAAGAGAAGAUUCUGCUUCCAGUCCUGGUCCUCCAACCACUCCCACAGCUCCUGAUCCCACAACACUGUCUCCCAGGAAGAAACGCACGAAGACCAAUCAUAUACUGGAAUUUCUCAAACAGGAAUCCGCAACGGAGCAGAAGAGGCACGAGGAGACUGAAGCCAAAACAGAACGUUUCCUCAGCCUAUUUGAGAAGCUAGUUAAUAAAAUGCC